rfam:Neotoma lepida isolate 417 scaffold_1444, whole genome shotgun sequence.
UGGCUCAGUGGUUAAGAGCACUGGCUGCCCUUCCAGAGGACCUGGGUUCAAUUCCCAG